rnacentral:rRNA from 1 species
AUGGCGGAGGAACCGUCUGCCAAGCGUCAUCAUGGCGAGACGUCGGACAAGAGCAACAACCUCAUCGACGUUCACGUCCCCGGCGACAAGCGCGAGUACACAAGAACCCUCACAGGGGUUGAGCUCCAUGGCAAGGAGACACUGGAGAUCGUCUGCACCAGCGAACCAGACAAGGCCGAUGAGGUGAUGAGCAAGCUCAGGAUGAAGGGCGGCGGCUUGCCCAAGCUCCUCACACAGUUCCUGCAGGAGGAGAAAUUGUACACAUUUGUCGGUUUCAGCAUUGGAGGUGACAAGCGGAUGCUGGACAAGUCUGGCGGCGUCAUUCACCCAUUCUACAAAGACAUGAAGAAGAAGAUGGACAAGGCAGAGCACAAACUGUGGGGGACCAGCCCGCUGCCAGACAACCUCAUCAUGUACGCAGGGAUAGAUGCAUACGCCACGUACAAGUCAUGGAAGACAAUCGACAACAUCGUGACAGGUUGA